rnacentral:rRNA from 1 species
AUUGAACGCUGGCGGCAGGCCUAACACAUGCAAGUCGAACGAGUUGCAGACGGGUGAGACAUGUGUGGGAACGUUCCUAGUAGCGGGGGAUAACUACUGAAAACGGUCGAUAAUCCCGCAUACCAGCAGAUACGCCCAUAUCGGAUUAGCUUGUUGGUGGGGUAAAGGCACACCAAGGCGACAAUCCGUAGCUGGUGUGAGAGGAUGACCAGCCACACUGGAACUGAGACACGGUCCAGACGCCUACGGGAGGCAGCAGUGGGGAAUAUUGCACAAUGGGCGAAAGCCUGAUGCAGCCAUCCCGCGUGUAUGAAGAAGGCCUUCGGGUUGUAAAGUACUUUCAGCGGGGAGGCGUUACCCGCAGAAGAAGCACCGGCUAACUCCGUGCCAGCAGCCGCGGUAAUUC